rnacentral:rRNA from 1 species
AGGGCCAGAGUCAGUAGGAGUAGACCCGAAACCGGGUGAUCUACCCAUGUCCAGGAUGAAGCUGCCGUAAGAGGCAGUGGAGGUCCGGACCCACAUCCGUUGAAAAGGGUGGGGAUGAGGUGUGGGUAGGGGAGAAAUUCCAAUCGAACCCGGAGAUAGCUGGUUCUCCUCGAAAUAGCUUUAGGGCUAGCCUCGGUCAUGAGUCUUGUGGAGGUAGAGCACUGAAUUUCCUAGGGGGCGUCAAAGCCUACCGAAGAAUAUCAAACUCCGAAUGCCAUGUAGACAGGACCGGGAGUCAGACUGCACGAGAUAAGUUGGGCAGUCAAAAGGGAAAGAGCCCAGACCUUCAGUUAAGGUCCCAAAGUGUACGUUAAGUGGAAAAGGAUGUGGGGUCUCGAAGACAACCAGGAUGUUGGCUCAGAAGCAGCCAUUCAUUCAAAGAGUGCGUAAUAGCUCACUGGUCGAGAGGCCCUGCGCCGAAAAUGUCCGGGGCUGAAACGUACCACCGAAACUAAGGGAUCCGCAAGGAUCGGUAGAGGAGCAUUGCAUGCGGAAGGAAGCAGUACCG